AUUGAACGCUGGCGGAAUGCUUUACACAUGCAAGUCGAACGGCAGCACGGGGCAACCUGGUGGCGAGUGGCGAACGGGUGAGUAAUACAUCGGAACGUGCCCAAUCGUGGGGGAUAACGUAGCGAAAGUUACGCUAAUACCGCAUACGAUCUACGGAUGAAAGCGGGGGAUCGCAAGACCUCGCGCGAGUGGAGCGGCCGAUGUCAGAUUAGGUAGUUGGUGGGGUAAAGGCUCACCAAGCCAACGAUCUGUAGCUGGUCUGAGAGGACGACCAGCCACACUGGAACUGAGACACGGUCCAGACUCCUACGGGAGGCAGCAGUGGGGAAUUUUGGACAAUGGGCGCAAGCCUGAUCCAGCCAUUCCGCGUGCAGGAUGAAGGCCUUCGGGUUGUAAACUGCUUUUGUACAGAACGAAAAGUACUUUAAUAACACUAGAGGCUCAUGACGGUACUGUAAGAAUAAGACACCGGCUAACUACGUGCCAGCAGCC
rnacentral:rRNA from 1 species